UUUUGGGGUAAUCCAGUUAUCUCUAAUAGUUAAGGUUAUGUCUCCCUUUCAAUUUUUCAUCCUGUUCACCAAUUUUGUACUAAGUGUGAAAUCCCGUGAGAUUUUGUGGGAUUUUAGUUUUAAAAAGUGGGGCGGUGCCCAUUGUUUGGUCAUGAACAAGGAAAUUGUUUGGUCAUGAACAAGGAAGUUGUUUGGUCUCAUGAACAAGGAAGUUCAGGGCUGGCUGUUGCAGGUGGGCUUUAAAUCUGUUUAAAUCAGUUAUUUGUCAUCUUUUGAUUAUACUAUGCUCACUGAUAUGCCUUGCAGUUUCUAGAUGCCUGUACUCUACACUGAAUGGGUAUUCUUAUGGCUUAGAAAUGGGAAGCAAUGAACUGGCCAGGUCCUCAUUUGAUGGCGAGCUACCCACUAGGCCUUUAGGCCAAGGAACCUGGAUAGACUGCUAAAUCUCUAUCUGUGUGAUAGGAGACAUUGUUGCCUGCCCCACCCCAUCCAAGGGACUCAAGUCAACGUUUAAAUCGACUAAGACUAGUACUUUGGACUUUUGGAAUGUUACAACUUGGAAUGUUACGGCGUGUGCAGGAUUUUGGUUUUGACAAAGUUUGUCUGUAUAUAUUGUAAAUAGUCUUCGUAGUAUAAAUCACUUUCUGCACAAA